rnacentral:lncRNA from 1 species
CUUUUCUUCUCAAUUGCUGGUAAUUUGAUUCAAAAGUUUGAAUAAUUUGUUAAUUUUCCCUCAUGUGGUGGAUUAGAAUUGUUCUUCUUCUUCAUCUUUCUUCUACUGCCGCCCUUGUCAAUUCCUAAGCUCUUCAAUCCUCUUUUUAUAUGCAAAAACAAAGAGAUACAAAGGCCACUCCUGCUACGGCUACAUCUCUUGUCGGGUCGGUUCAGUUACUGCACAAGCACCUCAUCAGCUGCCAAACCCAACUCACCUGAUAUAAUAACAUUGAAAUGGCCUAUAGGGUUUAUAUGAAUAGCAGAGCACCGAGGAUGACGUGGAAUAAAUGAAGAUAUUGAAAAAAAAAAAAAAUCAUAAGUAGCA